GACGAACGCUGGCGGCGUGCUUAACACAUGCAAGUCGAACGGAAAGGCCCUGCUUUUGUGGGGUGCUCGAGUGGCGAACGGGUGAGUAACACGUGAGUAACCUGCCCUUGACUUUGGGAUAACUUCAGGAAACUGGGGCUAAUACCGGAUAGGAGCUCCUGCUGCAUGGUGGGGGUUGGAAAGUUUCGGCGGUUGGGGAUGGACUCGCGGCUUAUCAGCUUGUUGGUGGGGUAGUGGCUUACCAAGGCUUUGACGGGUAGCCGGCCUGAGAGGGUGACCGGCCACAUUGGGACUGAGAUACGGCCCAGACUCCUACGGGAGGCAGCAGUGGGGAAUAUUGCACAAUGGGCGGAAGCCUGAUGCAGCAACGCCGCGUGCGGGAUGACGGCCUUCGGGUUGUAAACCGCUUUCGCCUGUGACGAAGCGUGAGUGACGGUAAUGGGUAAAGAAGCACCGGCUAACUACGUGCCAGCAGCCGCGGUGAUACGUAGGGUGCGAGCGUUGUCCGGAUUUAUUGGGCGUAAAGGGCUCAUAGGUGGUUGAUCGCGUCGGAAGUGUAAUCUUGGGGCUUAACCCUGAGCGUGCUUUCGAUACGGGUUGACUUGAGGAAGGUAGGGGAGAAUGGAAUUCCUGGUGGAGCGGUGGAAUGCGCAGAUAUCAGGAGGAACACCAGUGGCGAAGGCGGUUCUCUGGGCCUUUCCUGACGCUGAGGAGCGAAAGCGUGGGGAGCGAACAGGCUUAGAUACCCUGGUAGUCCACGCUGUAAACGGUGGGUACUAGGUGUGGGGUCCAUUCCACGGGUUCCGUGCCGUAGCUAACGCUUUAAGUACCCCGCCUGGGGAGUACGGCCGCAAGGCUAAAACUCAAAGGAAUUGACGGGGCCCCGCACAAGCGGCGGAGCAUGCGGAUUAAUUCGAUGCAACGCGUAGAACCUUACCUGGGUUUGACAUGGAUCGGGAGCGCUCAGAGAUGGGUGUGCCUCUUUUGGGGUCGGUUCACAGGUGGUGCAUGGCUGUCGUCAGCUCGUGUCGUGAGAUGUUGGGUUAAGUCCCGCAACGAGCGCAACCCUUGUUCACUGUUGCCAGCACGUUAUGGUGGGGACUCAGUGGAGACCGCCGGGGUCAACUCGGAGGAAGGUGGGGAUGACGUCAAGUCAUCAUGCCCCUUAUGUCCAGGGCUUCACGCAUGCUACAAUGGCUGGUACAGAGAGUGGCGAGCCUGUGAGGGUGAGCGAAUCUCGGAAAGCCGGUCUCAGUUCGGAUUGGGGUCUGCAACUCGACCUCAUGAAGUCGGAGUCGCUAGUAAUCGCAGAUCAGCAACGCUGCGGUGAAUACGUUCCCGGG
rnacentral:rRNA from 1 species